GACGAACGCUGGCGGCGUGCUUAACACAUGCAAGUCGAACGGAAAGGCCCUGCUUUUGUGGGGUGCUCGAGUGGCGAACGGGUGAGUAACACGUGAGUAACCUGCCCUUGACUUUGGGAUAACUUCAGGAAACUGGGGCUAAUACCGGAUAGGAGCUCCUGCUGCAUGGUGGGGGUUGGAAAGUUUCGGCGGUUGGGGAUGGACUCGCGGCUUAUCAGCUUGUUGGUGGGGUAGUGGCUUACCAAGGCUUUGACGGGUAGCCGGCCUGAGAGGGUGACCGGCGACAUGGGGACUGAGAUACGGCCCAGACUCGUACGGGAGGCAGCAGUGGGGAAUAUUGCGCAAUGGGGGGAAGCGUGAUGCGGCAACGCCGCGUGCGGGAUGACGGCCUUCGGGGUGUAAACCGCUGUCGCCUGUGACGAAGCGUGAGUGACGGUAAUGGGUAAAGAAGCACCGGCUAACUACGUG
rnacentral:rRNA from 1 species